AUCAAAUACCCCUAUUCAUUAAUCACUGUCAUUACCAUAUCAUUGUUGACCAUCACGUAGUUGGCUUUGGUUUACACACUUGUCGUUAUCCAUAGAAAAAUCUCCUCUUGUACAGUUCUCUGACUUCUGUCUUUAUUCUUUUGGGCACGGUCUUUCAGUGGUCUUUACUAGUAGCUAGUAGUAUACUGGUUGUUCUGUGUGUGAUAUUGUGCCGUACGUUGGGCGACUAAGGAAUUAUGGAGACAGAUCAAGAUGAAUUCCACGUGCCAUGCUUUGAUCAAGAACUUCCCCGAGAAAGCCGAGAGAUAAUAAGAGACAAAGUAACACUAAUAUUUCAAGCCUGCUUUCCGACAUUAAUAGUGAUUAAAGCGUCAAAUAAUCCUAUAUUCCCAAAUCCGGCAAUUAGAAGAUUUGAAGGCACCUGUGUCUGGAAUAUCAUAUUCAACAUACGUCGUGGUACAGCAGAAGAAAAUCUAUCAUGCGACCAGAUGAAAGAAAUGUUCAAAAUGUAUCAACCACCAAAUUGUGAAUUAUACUCUGCUGUACUUGAGGGACAACUAUGGCACACCCGUUAUGGAAUACGCGACUGUGAAUGCUUCGCAUACAAUCCUUUUCUCAUGCAACGUAGGAAAAUGCGCGAAAUUAGUAAUUUGUUUUCAGGAUUUACGUUGCAAUAAUUGGCGAAAAUCGCCUUUCAAAUUGAAAAUGCAAAUACACGUUUUUUAUGUAGACACUCAUUUAGUUUAAUAAAUUUAUAGCUUGUAUAA